rnacentral:rRNA from 1 species
UUCCGGUUGAUCCUGCCGGAAGUCACUGCUAUCGGUGUUCGACUAAGCCAUGCGAGUCAAAUGUUCUUCGUGAACAUGGCGUACUGCUCAGUAACACGUGGAUAACCUGCCCUUAGGUCUGGCAUAACCCCGGGAAACUGGGGAUAAUUCCGGAUAGAUCAUCGAUGCUGGAAUGCGCUUUGAUCCAAAGCUAUUGUGCCUAAGGAUGGGUCUGCGGUCUAUCAGGUUGUAGUGGGUGUAAUGUACCUACUAGCCUACGACGGAUACGGGUUGUGGGAGCAAGAGCCCGGAGAUGGAUUCUGAGACAUGAAUCCAGGCCCUACGGGGCGCAGCAGGCGCGAAAACUUUACAAUGCGGGGAACCGCGAUAAGGGGACACCGAGUGCCAGCAUCCUAUGUUGGCUGUCCAUAUGUCUAAAUCACAUGUGUUAGCAAGGGCCGGGCAAAACCG